rnacentral:rRNA from 1 species
GACGUAGGGGGCAAGCGUUGUUCGGAAUUAUUGGGCGUAAAGAGCUCGUAGGCGGCUUGUCGCGUCGUCCGUGAAAACCCACAGCUCAACUGUGGGCUUGCGGUCGAUACGGGCAGGCUAGAGUUCGGUAGGGGAGACUGGAAUUCCUGGUGUAGCGGUGAAAUGCGCAGAUAUCAGGAGGAACACCGGUGGCGAAGGCGGGUCUCUGGGCCGAUACUGACGCUGAGGAGCGAAAGCGUGGGGAGCGAACAGG